rnacentral:siRNA from 1 species
AAGGUACAGACAUCGUGAUGG